CCCUGCUAACAGUGCACUUACAGGGUUUGCACGAGCUGAAGGGGAAUAAGAGGAGUAGAAAGCAAUGUUAGGAAGCAGGCUGAGAGCUACAGGCAGGUUUCUCAGGCACUGCGACAGCACAGCUGUCGUCAAUCGGCUUCGAUGGCGGGUGUGAACGAGUUAGAACUUGCACCUGUCUCAAAGCAGUUUGAGGAGGAAUGGAUGAAACCUGUGGCUCGUUAACAGGAUGGUCAGCUGGGGGCUUUAUAAGCCCCAUUCCCAGUUGGUCAGUCAAGACCAAGGAAGAAAGCUGGGUUCUUUUGACUCUUGCUCUGUGCUCCAGCACUGUGUAGCAAAGAAAUACAGUUGCUCCAGGAUGAAGCUUUGCCUUGCAAGCCGGCUGUAUGGAGUUGCUCAGGACGGGAUUGCUCGGGGGGCCCUCAGCCCGUGGAAUUAAAAAAGAGGGGCAUCAAUACUAUGGAUAUUUCAAGUCUCCAGAGAGCUCUGCUUCGAAGGAAAGAGACAGCAGAGCGCCUGCAGCAGAACCAAAGCUUCAGCUCACUGAAUUCUCUGCUUUUUCCUCCCACUUCUACAAAACCACCCUUCAGACCACCAUUGCUCCAGCCAUGGAAGCAGUGUAGUGAAGGCCCAUGAGUCCAUGUGGGAGCUCAGGCAGGGAGGAGGAGGAGGAGACCCAAGUGGCUGUUUUCUCAGUGCUGAGGAUGAUGUGCCCUGCUGCCAUGUGCCAACACCUGCACUGGGCUCCUCGGUCUUCCAUGGGGGUCUCAGCACUGUGAAUCACCACAGCCAUCCCUGCACCACAUCCUCCAGACAGAGCCACGCUGCAGCUCAGGGCAUUCCAUGAAGAAAUUGCUUUCUCAUGACUAAAUGUCAGCAUAGAGAAUGAAUGAAGAAAGACCACAAAUUUACUUAAAAUCUGCAACCGACUCCUCAGCGCAGAGGAAAGACUGGCAUCAGUGUCAUGUCCUGAAGCAGUGUCAUGUCCUGAAGCAGAUGCAGGAAGAACAAUUACUUGUGUUCACAGUAUCCUUAAGGUUGGAAAAGACCACCAGCAUCAUCUAACCCAACCAAGGGGCAGUCUGCUCAGACACAUCUCUUGUCUAAGAGCUUCCAACUUAGUGCAGUUUCCUUAUCCUCGUGCCUAAGGGACAGCACCAGGGACACCAAGGCACACAGUCCUUGUAGGCAUGGCUGGCUGCCAGCCACCCUUGUUCUCUGGUUAAUAGAGGAGCACAUGGAACCGUUGUAGGUAACAUGACCACUGCACGAUCCCGUCAUAGCCAGAAAUGUUUCAGCUGCAUCACUGCUAUAUAUUUUCUUUCCUGCAGCAUCUUAUUUGCCCUUGGUUGUAAGAGGACUGAGCUGAUGUUAGCAUUGUUUUCAGUUCUUCAGCAAAAAUAUUGGUGUUUUUUCUUAAGAAAAAGGCAUGAGCGGAUGAUGUAGUUUUGACUGAUCUGAUAAUAAGUAUAGGAGAAAGCACUCGGUGUGGUUGCAUUGCCCUUUUGUCCUGGGCUGCAGAUGGUCAGUGAAGCUGUGCUCACCCCUCCCAGGUGCUAACACUCAGCCUCUGCUGGGCAGAUGAAGCACAGCUGGGUAAUGAGCAGGUCCUGAUGGGCAGUGUUUGUUGGCCUGUGAACCUACCUUGCCUAUUUAGGGACCUGACCCAAACCAGGGAGCUCAGAAACGUGGUGCUCUCAGCUGUAGCCAUUCCUCUUCUUUAAAUUCAGUAGGUGUGCCUUUGCCACCAGCAGCAUCCUUGGAUUCCAGGCACCAUUCACAUCCUGCUGUUUGGGAAAUGGUCAUUGCCACCAGUCUGGGAAGAAUGUAUUUCUGCCCUUCUGAUAACCCACCAGAGGUCCCCUGAGGGCUGGGAUUCACGUUGCUUUCUGCCCUGAGGCUGUAAGGUAAGAGAUGCAGCGGUGUUCAUUGUAAGUGAGAACCCUUUGCUUUGAAUGGGGAGAUUAACAACAAAACUCUCUGAACUUCCUUCUCCUUCGGUUAUGUUGCAGAAAAAAUUAACUUUGUUUAAGUUGGGAACUGGAGCAGUUCUUUAUGGCCACUGAUUCCUUUUUUCCUCCUCCUGGUCUCAGUAACAAGGGCCAGAGUAGUGGACCAUGCUGGACACAGCUAUUUUCUUCCUGAUGCUAAUUGCAGCCCUUCCUGGGGAGGAGCAAGGCAGCUGAUUUUUGGAUAAACUGAAGGCAAAAAGAAUUUCUGCCUGGGCAAAGCAGAGCAGAGAACAAAGGAGUGGGAAUAGUCAGGAGUGCUGGCUGUGGGGCUCUGCAGGGUGGGGAAGGACAUGCAUAGGCCUAGGGGGAAACCAAGGAGAAACAUAAGGAGGCAGAAUGGAUUAUUUGCUAACAGACAGAGCCAGGGUGCUGCUAAAUACCCAGACCCUCACUGUUUCACCCAGGGCAGGGGUGGCAGUGGGGCUGGGCGUGCUGUAGGGUAGUUUGGGAUGGUCCCAGGUUGGUGCUGGGUGUGCUGAGAGUCUCCUGAUGCUCUGUGAGGCUGGGGAGAAGCAAGAAGGAGCACGAGCAAAUGUGUUUCCACUUAGCUGCUCUAAGGAGCCAAAUGAUGUAACUGCUCGAAGCCCCGCACUAUGUUGGCAGGAGGAGUCCAGUGACAGCUCCAACUGUAAGUUCCUGAGCUAAUGAGCAGAAAAGUUGAAUAAAACUUAAAAAAAAAAAAAAAAAAAAAAGCCUAUUUAUUUGGCUUAACAUAGCGAUCCUUCCCAGGACUGUUCCUUCAGCUGUUCCUCUGCUCAGAUCACAAAUCCAGACCCAAAAGAUGCUGGCUCCUCUCCUAUGGGUCUAAUGGGGCAGAGCCAAGGGGUCAGUGUCCGUUGGGAGCAAUGCUUCUGUGCAGCGUUGGGUGCUUUGCUUGGUGCUGAACCACAUCCCUGCUCCAGGAGAAGCGCUGUGCUAUCCUUUCCUCCAGCCCUUAUGGAGUUAACCACAACUAUUAUUAUUAAGGGUGGGUUUUUUUCUCCCUCUUUCUCUCUCUCUCUCUGUGUUACCAGCAAAGAAUGUUUUACUACAGCUCUCCACACAGCCACCAGCCUCCAAAUGGACCACGUUACAGUCCUGCUGCCCCCAGAAGGCACUGGGGUGCCCCAAGGCAUUGCAUCAUGCAAGGAGGAGCACCACAGCUGCCUGGGGAGCCCUCUGCUAGAGGGUCUGGACAGAGGCUGUGACCGGAGCACGGUGCUGAUGUGUGUGCUUGGGAAUGAAAUUUGGCUGGAGAGGUGUUGCUGCCUUGAGGUCAACGUGGAGGUGAAGGGCUUCAUGACUUCCUGCAAACUAAAGAAACAGCAGUUUGGUGAUUUCCUUGGCUCUGUGUUGCUUGCCACUGGACCAGCUGGCACUGGACGAAAGAGAGCGGCUGCACAUCUUCCUGCUCCUGGUGGUUGGGACUGUUAAAAGUCAGCCCUGUGCCACAGGUUGCCCCAGCUCUUCAGGUGAUAACCUGCUUCAGCAGCAGCUGUGCACAGAAUUUACUGGGCUGCAGCUGGGAAUCUUUCUCUUUGAUCCAUCUCUGCUAUUAAACAGCUUGUGAUAACGCCACUGAGCUCACAUCGAGGAGGGGAAGCCGAGCAACCUCAAUAUUGGAGCUGAGCAGCAGUGGGGUGCCCAUCUUAAAGCUGCAUCACCUCACUGUCUUCAAAAGCAAAGGAGCUCCUUUUAUAGCAGCGAGCUGCUCUCCAGGAAUGAUUAAAGUCUCGUAAACGAGCACCUUCCUCAUCACAGAGCUGUCUGCUGACGGGGUGCCAAGUACAACAAGCCCAAUCCAAAGCAUCAUCCCCUCCAUGGGGCUAAUUGUUGUUGCCUUGUCUCUUGAACAAGAAGAGUGGUAAGGGAAAGCAGAGCCUGGAGACACACGCACAUCCCUGUACAGAAAUAACCCCUGAAAUAGAACUGACAAGCAAUUGAGGAGUCGGCCUGUGGGCUGCAGACAAAGCACAGAGCAAAGGAGAUAACCGGCAGUGAGCACUGGGAAAUAAUGCCCUAAAUUCCCUCUGAGCCCAUUCAUCACCGUGGCUUCGGCGAUCAUCUCAGCAACAAAUUCCCCUAUCAUCCAACUGAAAUUCGAUGUUAAUGACCUGUCUGUUAUUUCAGGGGGAGAUUGUCUGGAACCGGUGGGUAAUUGGUAGGAAAAAUCGCCGGGUACAGCAAAGAGCUGAUGCUACUGGAGUCGUUACACCACGAGAGAGGGAGAUUAGGGAGCUCUGCUUACCACAAGGGGCUUAUUCAUCCUGAAUAAAUGCAUUAGCUGCCCAGAGCUGUCCUCUUAUGCCCUUGUUCCUGUCUGGUGGCAUCUCCCCACCACAGCUUUUCCCAGCAAACAGCAGAGAUGCAGCCCAGAAGAAGCUGCUAGAAUCAUAGAACACCCAGAGCUGGAAGGGACCCAUAAGGAUCAUCGAGUCCAACUGCUGCUGUUGAGACGAUCACAGUAAGGAAUAACCUGCUCUCUCCAAGCUCACACUGAUGUAUGCGUUUAUUCUGGAGUUCUCUCAGGAAAGACCAUAAUUACUCUAAUUUCUUAAUUACCGAAAUUAUUCAGAAUGACUCUGCAAACACCUCUGCCCUGCAACGUUUUGCACGAGCAGCCUCCCAGAUUGCAGCAGCGUUAGGAUUUGGGUUUGUUCCUCUGCUGGAAGGAUUUGCUGCGUUCAUUGCCAUUUCUCCUUGCCAUCAUGUUAGCGGGGCAGCCUGCAGCCCUCACCAAAAAUAGGAUAACUGGAGAGCAUCAGGGGAGAGCUAGAAGCAAGUCCAGAGGUAAAGCCUUGGCUCUGUUGCAAAGGAUAGCUUUGCUGGGACUUGAUGUCUGUGCUUUUUCUCAACAGUUUCUCAUUCCCAUCUUGCUAACGGGACCAGCACCAGUCAUGUUUCGGUGAGCACACCUGCUUUAUAAAUUAGCUCCCAGGAGUAUUUGCAAAAACAGAGCUGAACUGCAUGGCCACGGGACUGGGUUUGCUGCAGAAAUACCAGCACGUAUUCAUAAUAAAGCAGCUGCACGCUUUGCCCAGCUCUGUCUGUAACUUCCCGUCAUGUCCUGUACCUUUCUGGGCAGAAAGAAUGGGUGGUAGUGGUGGGAAAAUUGCAAAAUCCUCCUUGGCUAGAUGAAGCAAUUAUUUUUGAUGCAGAUGGGGCUGCUUUUAACCCUACGUAUUCCAAACAUCUCUGUAUAACCCUAUGGGUUCUCCACCGUUGUAGGCAGUGAUGGAGAAGGAAAAAAAUGGGUGAGUAGGAUUUAACACCCAGCCAGAACUGAACUGUACAACACCCGACUGCAGAAGGGUCGGUUCUAUGCCCUUUAUGCGCAGUAGGCACCGCUGCUGCCUGUCCCCAGCAUGGCACGAGUUGGGGACCAUGAGUGGUGAGGAGCUCUCGUGGUGCCUCUCCCUGAGCUGCAGGCACAAAGGUUGGAUUUCUUCCCUAUGGCUGCGUGAAGAGCUGCUGACUGCUCCACCAGGAACUGAGGCAAUAAUCCCAGCUUGUCGUUCUCCUUCUCAUGGGAGACUUCUUGUGCAAAAGAAGCAUCAGUAGAAUGAAUCAAACGCUGCGGUAGUGGCCCCAUUCCCACGUGCUCUGUGUGCUCUUCCUCUCGACUCACCGGUGAGGAGGCGGUAUCAUGGGGAGGCUGUUCUGAAAAUGCUUUUAAUUGAUUUAGUUCAUAGCUGUGUUGGAGCAGGAAGGUGUUCCUUCCUUGUGCCCGGGAAUGGCAGAAUGUCCUCCAGCUGCCCCCAGAGAUGCAGCGCUGUGCCCGGGUAGCACUGCCUUGCUGCUGGCCAUCCGUGCCAAGCCUGGGAAUGAAAGCUUUGGCAACAGCCUGGACCAAGCUCUGGUAUCUUCCUUAUCGAGAAGCAUGCUGAUUACUGCAGACAAAUUGGAGAUGAACUUGCCUCUAGAGCCCAACGUGUUUGUGAAAUGAAUUGCAGUUACAUGGGGAUUUAUUAUUUCUGCAAAAGAGGCUUUCUUAUCAUGAUUUUUCCUUCCAUCUUGGACUCAUUGCUACCAGACCAGGAACCUUCAAACAGAUGUGUUUGGAGCCUUGAUGUGGGCUCACAGUGGCUGGGAAUCUUCUUGUUAUUCCUACAAAAAACAGACUCCAGCUGGAGGGGAAGAAGAGCCUCCAGCAUUAGAGAUGACCUAAACAGCACAUGUUGCAAAUGAGAUGGGAAGUGGAGAACUGCUUGAAACAUCUCUGGCCCUUUCAGCAGAACUGUUUUCCCUUUGCCUUCUCAAGGCUGAGCUGCAGACAUUGCAAGAAUGACCCCAGCAGACUGCUGCUGUUUCUGUUUUGCAUGUUCACAAGGCAGCUUCUGAAAUAAGUUUGCACACUGUUGAUCUUGCACUGGACAGCCUCACAUCAGGUGGCAGGGAAGCCCCUGCUCAUGCUGCCCUGACCCUGCUGCUCUUACUUCCCAUGCUGAUGCAUCAGUGCAUGAUGUGGCUGGAAAUGAGGUGGUGCAGGGUGGUCUCCUUGGGUUUUGCAGCUGAAAUAGGUUACUGAGCUCCUGAAGGCAUCCACCAGGAUUGCUAUGGCCUGGAACAGCACUAGGAAAGAUGCUCUGCUUCAAGCUGGGGUUGUGCUGGUGGUGGGAGCUGGGGAUUUCAAAUCUUCCUACAGUUGGAUAUUUCAACCAAUGGCAUAAAUAAUGGAAAGCCUUCCAAAAGAAUGCCAUCCUAAGGGCUGUUCCCCUAAGAAGAAAUGCAGGUCAGGAAAUACAUUGGCCAUAUGAGUUUGUGAGUCCUUUCAAUUGUGAACAGUGCACUAAUCAAGAUUUGGCUAAUGGGUAUGCUGGGAUAUGCACACAGAUAUGCUCUUCUUUUGAGUCUUUCUCUUUACCUUUCAACCCCUGAAAUCAUCCAAGCUGCUAACACUCUGAGGAGGAUGAUGCAGCAAAAAUAAUAGUUUUAGCAAGAAGCAGAAAAAUGAGAUUAGCAUCUGUUUUUCUGGGAAAAAUAUCAACUUUUCCUGCUUAGAAAAUGAAUGGGUUGGAAACCAGCUUGUAAAACUCAAAGCCUGAUUCAGGCACUGAUUUGUCACGGGGCUGUCACCUGCAGUCACUGUUAGAGAGGAGCCCUCAAUGUUCUGUCCAAAAGGAACGAUUGCUGUCUGAGUUAUUGAUGGAUUCGUAUGUGGGGAAGAGCAAAUCCUGGUCAAGCUGGAGGACUUUUGCACACAUUCAGCAGCGGUGCAGGGUAGGAAGAUCAAGAUCUCUCUCAGUGACCAAGGGAGAAGAACUUUUGGUCCACGUGCGUGUCUUGCAGUGGGGGAUCCCAAAUGAAGCCCCGUGUCCUGCAGCUCCUGGAAAUGCCACAUCAGAAACAUUCCUGCUACUGGGAAAAACACUUUGAAGACCAGGAAAACUGCAGACUUCAGUUGUUCUUUGUGGCUUCUGCAAUUUUUUCCUGGUGAGGUACAUUGCACGGAAAACCGUCGUGCCCGAUGUGGUCAGCAUUCUUAUUUACCAUAAGCAGAGCAGUUACACAUUGUUAAAUUAUUAUUAGCUUAGCUACCACUGGGAGGGUUGCCUCAGCCCUGCCAGCAGGGCUGAAACAAAUACCCACUGUUGCACACAGUCAACCAGCAAUGAGUUGCAUGGAUGCCCAGAACGUGUCUUGCUGCACGGCUGUCCCCCCAGGCAGCAGCCCUUGAGGAACACAGGCUGAGCUGGGAUCUCUUGCAAUGGGAUGGGUUGAACGUGUGGAUGCUUUGGAGCUGAAUCUGAAUGUUCUCAGUGUGAGCCUUCGUUCACCCGUUGUGUCAGCCCAUCCAAAGCUGAAGAAUUCACUGCCAAAGGAAAUCUGGAGCUAAAUUCUCAAUUCCAAGCUCUGACGCUGGCAAUAUUUGCACCAAGAAACCUGACAAAAUUCAGGAAGUUUUUUAUGGCCGAUUCUUUCUGCCUGGAUAGAGCUCGUGCCAACAACAAUAUCAGCUCUGUGAAAGAAUUUUAUGGUGUUUUGCUGUGCCUGUGCCAUGGGAAAAAGGGGCAAGGAUGGACUUUACGGGGUGUUUGUAGAAGGACGAAGCACAUCGUCCUCACCCAAAGGGCAGCCAUCAAAGCAAAGCUGUGGCAGCAGGCAGUUCUUCUGCUCAGCCUGAACGUGCAGGGAGCAUCCCAUGGCUGGGAGGUGACUGCAGCCUCCACAGCACUGCUGUAGGCAGACAGCUGAGACGUGGCAUUCUGCACAAACCAGUGGCUGACUCCAGGCUGGGCCGCGUCCCCCAUCCCAGCACCUCAACACUGACCCCCCCAGGAUUGCUCAGCAAUUAACUGUGUGCUCCAUGGGUGAAAUGCGUGAAGUCUUGUGACAGCCACCUCGUCCCACAAGGCAGGGGGUGCUGAGAAAGACAAAACAACCCGCUCCCUCUCCUCUCUCAUUAAAGCAAAUGUCAUCGGCUGUGAUCAGCCUCUGUGUACAUGCACACAGCCAGCAGGAGAAAAUCAAACAUCAAAAGGGAAAGAAAAGAAAAAGAGACCCGAACAGGAUAUUGACAUCAUUGGGAGCUCUGCGAAUGGAGAUGAAAUGUAAAAUGAAGUUGCAAUCUGGCUGAUAGAAGUUGAGGACACGUUAACCCUUGGGCAGACCCGCUGCUUGCAGGGGUGGGAGGAGAGCUGCUUCCAUGGGCACCUGGGCUGCGAUUUGCUCUGGAAUGUGGGAGGAAUCUGACACCCAAAUUGCUUGGGAAGUUGGACACGUCCUGCCAUGGGCUGCUCGGGAAUUGCCAGUUCUCAUUAAUCUCUGCUGUGGAUCUGACAAGUCAGCUGGAGGGAAAUGGUUCAUUUCAUUUUCUUCUCAUCGAGAUUUUCCCACCGCUCUUUCCCUCCCCGUCUGUCCCACUGAUGAGGCAAGAAAAGGAUGACAAAGCAGAAAGCGAGGGAAGAUGCAGGGUGAACGUUUCCGCCGGGAUGUUUAAUGAUGAGAAAGGAAAGAAAGCACCAAAAGAAGUUCCUGACGGAAAAUUCCUCACAGCUUUCAUGUCGCAGCCCCUGACCUUCAGCUGCCCAUAAACACCCUGCAGCCACCCCCAGCACGUUCCCAGCAGCCCGGUGGGGCUCUGCAUUGAGCCACCCUUCCACCAGCAAAGCUCAGACUGGGAAUUCAAACCCCAAAUCUGGCUGUGGGGUGCCAGCAGCCAAACACAGCCUGGUUCAGCACCCCGUGCUCUGGUACCCCAAGGGGCCAUCAUUCACCACCACAUGUGAUGUGUGGUGUGGGCACACACCUUCAGAAACCCUCAAAACCAAAUAAGAUAUCACUGUCGAUAGGAGUUCUGUGAAUAGAGAUGAGGUAUGGUGUGCAACUCGUUGCUGGUUCCAUGAGAGCUUCUCCACGGCGCUCACACAGGGACAUAAAAUGUGAGGGGUGGCCUCUGUCCUCCUGGCACCGUGGUUCCCUGAGUGCAGCUCCCUUCCUUGAGCAGGAUCAGAGCAGGGCUUCGGAGGAUCCUAUGCAGAGAGCAUCCUCCAAGGACGUGUUUUCAAAGACUCUCCAUCUCCCAAAGGCUGAAUAAUCUCAAGAAAGGGCCCAGGAAGAAGUGAAAUCCUCUCCAGAACGGUCAUUUGCAAGAGUGUGUUUCCGUAACCUUGCAUUGUUACAGCAUCACAAGGAUUUGUCUCCUCUUCUGGCUCCAGCACGCAUGUUCCUGGCUCCCAUGGAGGCACUGUGGACAGCCCAUGCCAUACAACGUGCCAGAAACAUGACCUCCCCAUGAACUUCGGGCCAUAUUUUCAAGUCUGCGCCCAGCUCCUUGCAGGCAGGGCUGUCUGGCCAGUGCAUUCUGGCCCUUUUGCAUGGAAAAUGAGCUGUGUCAGCCUUCGUGGCCCACUGGCUUGCCAGCUGCAUCCCUAACAGCACUUUGCAGCCUCCUCCCUCCGUGCUCAACAUGUUGCCUUCACCUGGCACAUGGGACAGCAACGAGGGGACUGUGAGCUUGUCCUCGGUGGCUGGGGCCCAGCUGGCCACCCCCAUCUCCCCACUGCAGCCACCGCACGCUCCUCGAUGCAGCAGAACUCAAUGUACAGCCCUUUUAUUUUUCCUCCUUGGUUUUCCUGUUUCCAGAACAGUUGAAUAUUUUACUUGCAUCGUGCCCCAGUUCCCCAGUUUCCAGCAGGCAGAACAGGGCGAUCUGUACUCACCUCUUGCAGCAGCUGGUGCUUGUUCCCCUGGCAAAACUUCACUUUGGAGCUGAACCCAACAAUGCUGCUGACUCCAACUGAUUCUUUCUCCCCCAGCCUAAGGCACUUUAUGAUGAUAUUAAUAACCAGACACUGAGGUUCAGCACUAAGGAUUUCUUAAGCUUGCUGCUGGGGCUGUGAUUGAGCUUUGUAGCCAUCUCUGCUUCAUCCCAUGAUCCAUCAGGGUUGGUGGGGACACCCAGACCUCUUUUGGGAAGUCCCUCCACAGCUCCUCCCUCCCAUAGCACCCAUGGGGUCAGGGGCAGACCGGGUGCUCCCAGACCUCUUUCCUGUUCUGCCCUUAAUACAUCAAAGGGAGAUCUCUUGUUCGAUGGUUCUCUAUUAACCCUAUUCAUGAGUCUUUUAAUUAGUGUUGCCUUCUGCUAAGUAAUCGCUUCAGCAUUAGCUCCUCUGGGGCAAUGCAGAGCUGCAACAGGGCACUGCAGGAGCUGCAUGCUGCUGUUCUGCUUUCUGGACCUGCUCCUGCUGGCAACUAUGCCAUUCCUUUUGCACAGACCGCACAGUGCCAGAGCAGCCCACUAAAACUUGCAAAGAAAAGCAGAAAGAAGCAUCUGAAACCCCACCAGGAGCUGCGGCAGGUAGAGUUCUAUCCUUACAUCUGGGAAACCUCCAGCUCAGCUCAAUCCUGCUGAUGCACUGCUAAGGGGAGCUUUGUAGUGGCCCUAUUCAAAGCACUCAGCUCUGGGGGCAUGUUUCCCCCAGCACCCAGGAGUAAUGUUUCCUUUGUUAAUUCAGGGUCCCCACCAAUCUGCAUCACCCCAUGCCUGGAGGCAGAGCUGCCAUGGCUGCCUUUUAUCCCCUGCAUCCUCCGGCAGAGCUCACAAAGUGGUACUUUGUACCAGAGCAAGAAACAAGAGACGUGAGCUGUAAUACAGGAGAGAGAGAAAAAAAAACCCUCAUCUCACCCCUUGUGUUUUUCCUGGAAAUGUCACUGCCCUUAAUGCAUCAAAUAAUUAGAAUCACUUCUCCCCUUUUGUUUGCCUUGGCCCUCACUGCUCGCAUUGAGUGGGCCAACAUAAACCUGUGCGCACCACAGGAAUUUUGGGCACAGCCCAUUCUGCAGUGUUGGGUGCAGGGGGAGAAGUGGCUGCAGGAGCUUUGGUUCUGCUCCAUAUGUCUCUGCUGCUGUGGGCACUGCUGGGCACAGAGCUCCCGUAGAGAGGACCUCACUGCAACGCUAGCGCUCAACCAAGUGCUGGUCCCAAUGGAAAUCCACUGUCCUGGAGAGAAGCAGCAGCAGCUGAUGCCCAUUUAAUGCCAAAAUUGCAGAUUUGUGUUUGACCUGAGUGGUGGGUGUGAGCGUGAUGCUGGCGGGACAGAUGGGUGGAUAGCUCUCUGAAGUCCCAGUGGGAUGUUAUGCUUGUUGCUCUGUAGUUGUAGCCUUCUCCUCUGGGUGCUGGGGAGUGCUCCGAGGUGACGUGGGAGAACAUAUCCCUUGUGAAUGCUGGAAAGCUGUGCUGGGUGAGGUGGCAUUGCACCACUAAUCCACGCACAGAGGAGCCCAGCACCCCCUCAGCACCCCUUACAGACACAGAUGGACACAGCCAGCAUCACAGCCCAGCUGGCUGCCUGCCCCCAGCACCGCUCCCAUGGGCUGCAUGUAUGUCAAUGGGUUAUUAAAGAAACGGAUGGGGGAUUAGCUGUGCUGUAGGUAGAGACCCCAUUCAGAUUUGCUAAGUUUCAGCAAGUAUGUUUUCAAUAAUUGGCUGGUAUUUGUAAGAAAUGAAUAAAACCUAGGCUACUAAAGCUGGUCCUUCUCUUAUUAUAAGGCAUUUAUUGCAUGCUUAGAAGCAUAUGUCUUCAAUAUCUGAAGCAAAGGAAAGUAAUAUAUAAGGAUCCCUUCUUAAACACAAAUAUAUGCAGCCAUAAUCACAAUUAUUAGCCACCAUGAAAUAGCUAAGAAACUGAAGAAGCCCCAUCAGCAGCAGCUUUACAACUAGGGGUGCAUAAGAAAUAAAGACAAAGGCGAGAAUUGCCCUCUUAGCUGUGCGAGACUCCACAAGGCAGAGGAAGGAUCAGCUUUGCUGAGGAGUGUUGGCAUCUCGGAGAAGGUUCACAGAUGAAGCCAAUGGAGAAGGGUGUGCAGGAGCGGGGCAGGGAAUUGGGAAGCAGCGCUGCUGCUGGUGGUUGUAUCCUUCUGAAGAAAGAACACUGGAAAACCAAAGCUACCUGUCACUGCUGCUGUUAUCGCAGAGGUAUUUGGGAGAGGGUGAGCGAAUGUUUCUGUAGAACUGCGUGCUGAUUUAUUGGUACGGAGGGAGGUGCAGCGGGGAAACCACUGUGCGGAUCGUUGGCGAGGAGGGGCACGUGGUUCUCCAAAGAUUUUUGUCUGAAAACGCAAUCAGCUGAAGUCAGCGCUGCGCCGAGGGUCUGAGCAGAGCUCGGUGCUGCUCAAGGAGGCACUUUCAUGUAAGAGGGAAGAAAUGGGCCCUGGCUCGGUGUAUAUCCCUGUUGGUCUUCUGAACACUUCGCAUUGUGUCUUCCUCCUCACUGCACCGCCCUGAAGCACAUACAGAAAAUGAUUGCUGAAAACGGGGCGUCCGCGAGUCACAAUGAGCGCAAUUAAACCAUGGAACGGAUUCCCCAGGGAUCUCACGCAUCCUUGGCUGCUUGGAGGAGCCUCAGGGCGGGCUGCAGCAGCUCCUUCCCUUUGGUGGAGCAGCGCUGUUCCUCCUGGGAUUUGCUCCAAACGGACAGCUCUGCUCUGCUCCAGCUGCUCGGUGGGUUUCUCUCCAGCACGUUGCUGGUUUGCACAUCGUUUCAAGCCUGCAGCUGUUAUCGGGCUGUUGGUUUGAGCGUUGUUCACUUCCAAUCCCUGCCUCAUUGCAGGGGGAGACCAUCCCUGGAGAUCCUCCCCUCUCCCAUCUCCAGGGCACCGAUCCUCAGCCACUCUGAGCGCAAUGCAGACACCACACAGCUCAGCAGGUUUCAGUGCCUCUGCCACCAACUGCGACUCAAAUCCAAAGCGAUUUGGCUUUGUUUUGUUUCUAAGUUGCUGCUCGAGCUUUCUUGGCUCACAGGCAGAUUUUCUCUUCCAAGGUUUCAGUGGUGGAGGGCCGUUUCCCUAAUCCCCAAUAGUUUGAGAUUAUCUCCAGCCAACAAUUAAUCAGAAUCAGAAUUUUGCACUGCUUGCCUGUGCUGCCGCAUUGAGUGCAUGUAAAACCCUCUGUUUCCUCUGAAGAAAAGCAUGUUCUACUUUCCUAUGUUGCCUCCAGUCUCUUUAGCUGUCAGGGCACUCGGUGUCAUACCAGGAUGCUGAAUGGGCCAAAGGAUGCCUUAAACAUACCACUCAAACAGGCAGAAAGUGGAUUCAGGAAGGCUCAACACGAGCUGAAAGCUCACUGUUUAGGAAGCAUCUCUGCUGGGGUGAGGGUUGGCUCUUAUGGGUUUGUGUUGUGGACUCAGCACUUGGGCAGCUUUGUUUUGGUGCAUGGAAUGCUCAGAGGCGUUCUCUGAGUGCUGUGUUUGGGUAAUAGCCAAAAAUGAACCCAGUUAGCUAAUGGAAAUGCAUCCUUCCUCCUGUGCUGGGACUGCGUUGCACUGAGUGAGUUGGAAACAGCACCAGAAGUGAUGUCUGACUGCUGCAGAUCCCAAACCCUCAGUCAGGCACUGCUCUGUGGAUGAGCAGGAUGGGCACAGCUGGAUCUGCUCCUCAAGGAUCCGCUGCAGGUGUGUGACUGGGGAAUUUUUCCCAACCACUCAACCUUCUGACAGGGCUUCCAUCAGCUGGAGCUGCCUCUCUCUUCCAGCAUCUCUUCAGGCUGAAAAGAAAUCAUAUUUCCUGAAGCAACACCAAACAGGGAAGUGGUGCCGCUUUGUCACGUCCAAUUUCAAGUAGCUCUUCUCCUUAAGCUGCUCACAAACAAGCGAGGAGGUUGUAACACACAGCUUCUUUCAGACACGAUUCUCUCCUGCUGAGCCCCGAUCUCUUGCUGUCUGCAGCUCUGUGCUCUAUAGAUGGCACACGAUGCCAGCUCUGCCUGGCAGCCACAAGCUGAUGGGAUUUGUAUUUGUCCCAUCACCCCAUGAGCUGUCACAGGGGUGGAUCCCACUCCCUCCUGGCACUUGCUGUCUGCUGAGGACUCCCGUGUUAUCACUGCUGUCAACUUCCAAGCUGCGUUUUAUAUGGGAAGGAAAGCUGCCAGGCUGCUCUGCGAGCCAGUAGGUAUUCUUGGAGACAAAACAUUCAGCCUGGACCCAGCACUGGUGGUUAAGCUUUAUUUGGUUCUCAUUUCCUUGAGAACUGGAUGCUCCUCUCCGUCUGUCAGCUCACAAAGCUGGGUCAGGCCGGCUGCAUCCUCUGCUCCAAAGCAAGGACCCCAAAAGGGAUCAGCUCCCCUUGACAUCAACGGGUUCUGGAUUGGGCCCCGGGCAAAGGCUCUCAAGAACGUGCUGCAGUUUGGGAAGCGGAGAAGCUGCGGUUUAACAUGGGAAUAGUUGGAGCAAGAAAAAUGUUAUUACCAAAACUCAGCUUAAACCAAGAGUACCGCGAGGUCAAACGCUGCAGCCAGUCACAAACACAGUGUUCUUGAGGAUUGUUAUACUGGAGUUACAGGAGACAAGGUGCUUUCGUGGUAAAUGGAAAACGCAGCUCGGCAGAGAGGAGGAAGCUGCAGCAAAUGCACUGCUGAUGUUAAGCUGCUGCCUCCCUGGGGCCAAGCAGCAGUGCAUGACUGGGAACGUCCCAUCCGUGGGUCAGCAGCUGGACACCUCCAAGGCAGGGACCCCCCAGCCCCUCUUAAAGCUCUCUUGAAUGAUCCCAUGCUGCAGAGAGUACUACUCUGUACAAACGUAUACAAACGUAAGUACAUCCAUAUACUUGGCUGAGAUGUAUAAACUCUGCAAUGGACUUUGGAUGUAAGUGUGGU
ensembl:lncRNA